rnacentral:sRNA from 1 species
UAGCAAAUGCACGGGUAGCAUGAAUGGC